rnacentral:RNase_P_RNA from 2 species
GGUGUUGAUUAGACAAUCGCUGUUUUUAUUUCGUUAUUUUUAAUUAUAGAAGCAGAGGAAAGUCCGGGCUCCACAGGGUAGAGUGCCAGGUAAUUCCUGGGGGAUGUGAAGUCCACGACGAGUGCAACAGAAAAUACACCGCCUUAUAAUAUUAUAUAAUUAUUAAUCAUUAUAGUUAUAAGGUAAGGGUGAAAAGGUGCGGUAAGAGCGCACCGCAUAUUUGGUAACAAUAUAUGGCAGUGUAAACUCCACUUGGAGCAAGGCUAAAUUGGAAAGAUAUUAUAAUAACAACAAUAAAUAAUAGGUAUGGCCCGUGCCUUAAUCUUUUGGGUGAGCCGCUUUUGAGCUAGUAUGUGAAUGCUGGUCUAGAUAGAUGAUUGUCCAUGACAGAACCCGGCUUAUCGGUCAACUCCCCAU